CAGUAUGAUGAAAAACAGGAGAUCCUGCACCAGACUGGCCAGAGAAAGAAGAGGCAAAAGAACGUCCAUUACUAUCUGGAA
rnacentral:snoRNA from 1 species